UGGGAAUCGAGAGCCGAUUCCUACUUGGAAUCGAUUUGGUUUCAAAUCUGAUCAUAUGAUCCAAAUUUAAUAUGCGCAAGGUUUGGUUUCCGUAGCGGCAGGCACUUGUUGUGUUGCAGCCAUGGAGCACAGUAAGCGGCGCUCUAGUGUGACUUUAUUUUACUUU